rnacentral:rRNA from 1 species
UACGAAGGGGGCGAGCGUUGUUCGGAUUUACUGGGCGUAAAGGGCGCGCAGGCGGUUCUGUUUGUCGAGUGUGAAAGCCCCGGGCUCAACCUGGGAACUGCGCUCGAAACGGCAGAACUAGAGUUCGGGAGAGGAGAGUGGAAUUCCCAGUGUAGAGGUGAAAUGCGCAGAUAUCAGGAGGAACACCGAUGGCGAAGGCAGGUCUCUGGGCAUUAACUGACGCUGAGGAGCGAAAGCGUGGGGAGCGAACAGG